UACGUAGGGGGCAAGCGUUGUCCGGAAUCAUUGGGCGUAAAGAGCGUGUAGGCGGCCAGAAAAGUCCGCUGUGAAAACUCGAGGCUCAACUUCGAGCUGUCGGUGGAAACUUUCUGGCUAGAGUCCGGAAGAGGAGAAUGGAAUUCCUGGUGUAGCGGUGAAAUGCGCAGAUAUCAGGAAGAACACCCGUGGCGAAGGCGGUUCUCUGGGACGGUACUGACACUGAGGCGCGAAAGCUAGGGGAGCAAACAGG
rnacentral:rRNA from 1 species